rnacentral:rRNA from 1 species
UACGUAGGUGGCAAGCGUUGUCCGGAAUUAUUGGGCGUAAAGCGCGCGCAGGCGGUCCUUUAAGUCUGAUGUGAAAGCCCACGGCUCAACCGUGGAGGGUCAUUGGAAACUGGGGGACUUGAGUACAGAAGAGAAGAGUGGAAUUCCACGUGUAGCGGUGAAAUGCGUAGAGAUGUGGAGGAACACCAGUGGCGAAGGCGACUCUUUGGUCUGUAACUGACGCUGAGACGCGAAAGCGUGGGGAGCAAACAGG